CAUGCACUGGUGGGGUCCCUCAGCCUGGCCUGUGCCCUCUCGCAAUCCGGGAUCCCUUGGGCAAUGUCAGAGAGCCAGUUUCAGCCCGAUCCCUGCAGGCCAGGCUGAGGGACCCCACCGGUGCACG
rnacentral:pre_miRNA from 1 species